AGUGAACGCUGGCGGUAGGCCUAACACAUGCAAGUCGAACGGCAGCACAGUAAGAGCUUGCUCUUACGGGUGGCGAGUGGCGGACGGGUGAGGAAUACAUCGGAAUCUACUUUUUCGUGGGGGAUAACGUAGGGAAACUUACGCUAAUACCGCAUACGACCUACGGGUGAAAGCAGGGGAUCUUCGGACCUUGCGCGAUUGAAUGAGCCGAUGUCGGAUUAGCUAGUUGGCGGGGUAAAGGCCCACCAAGGCGACGAUCCGUAGCUGGUCUGAGAGGAUGAUCGGCCACACUGGAACUGAGACACGGUCCAGACUCCUACGGGGGGCAGCAGUGGGGAAUAUUGGGCAAUGGGCGCAAGCCUGAUCCAGCCAUACCGCGUGGGUGAAGAAGGCCUUCGGGUUGUAAAGCCCUUUUGUUGGGAAAGAAAAGCAGCAGGUUAAUACCCCGCUGUUCUGACGGUACCCAAAGAAUAAGCACCGGCUAACUUCGUG
rnacentral:rRNA from 1 species